GGGUAACACCGGCGGCCCGAGUGGUGAUCGUGAUUAUUGGGUCUAAAGGGUCCGUAGCCGGUUUGGUCAGUCCUCCGGGAAAUCUGAUAGCUCAACUAUUAGGCUUUCGGGGGAUACUGCCAGACUUGGAACCGGGAGAGGUAAGAGGUACUACAGGGGUAGGAGUGAAAUCUUGUAAUCCCUGUGGGACCACCUGUGGCGAAGGCGUCUUACCAGAACGGGUUCGACGGUGAGGGACGAAAGCUGGGGGCACGAACCGGAUUAGAUACCCGGGUAGUCCCAGCCGUAAACGAUGCUCGCUAGGUGUCAGGCAUGGCGCGACCGUGUCUGGUGCCGCGGGGAAGCCGUGAAGCGAGCCACCUGGGAAGUACGGCCGCAAGGCUGAAACUUAAAGGAAUUGGCGGGGGAGCACAACAACGGGUGGAGCCCUGCGGUUUAAUUGGACUCAACGCCGGACAACUCACCGGGGGCGACAGCAAUAUGUAGGCCAAGCUGAAGACUUUGCCUGAAUCGCUGAGAAGAGGUGCAUGG
rnacentral:rRNA from 1 species